GCGAGCGGCGGACGGGUGAGUAACACGUGGGUAACCUGCCCAAGAGACUGGGAUAACACCUGGAAACAGAUGCUAAUACCGGAUAACAACACUAGACGCAUGUCUAGAGUUUGAAAGAUGGUUCUGCUAUCACUCUUGGAUGGACCUGCGGUGCAUUAGCUAGUUGGUAAGGUAACGGCUUACCAAGGCAAUGAUGCAUAGCCGAGUUGAGAGACUGAUCGGCCACAUUGGGACUGAGACACGGCCCAAACUCCUACGGGAGGCAGCAGUAGGGAAUCUUCCACAAUGGACGAAAGUCUGAUGGAGCAACGCCGCGUGAGUGAAGAAGGGUUUCGGCUCGUAAAGCUCUGUUGGUAGUGAAGAAAGAUAGAGGUAGUAACUGGCCUUUAUUUGACGGUAAUUACUUAGAAAGUCACGGCUAACUACGUGCCAGCAGCCGCGGUAAUACGUAGGUGGCAAGCGUUGUCCGGAUUUAUUGGGCGUAAAGCGAGUGCAGGCGGUUCAAUAAGUCUGAUGUGAAAGCCUUCGGCUCAACCGGAGAAUUGCAUCAGAAACUGUUGAACUUGAGUGCAGAAGAGGAGAGUGGAACUCCAUGUGUAGCGGUGGAAUGCGUAGAUAUAUGGAAGAACACCAGUGGCGAAGGCGGCUCUCUGGUCUGCAACUGACGCUGAGGCUCGAAAGCAUG
rnacentral:rRNA from 1 species